CCUUUCUAUGGGCGGGACAGCCAGCCCGCAGGGCCUGACAGUUCUUGGGCUUGUUUGAAUUGAGUCCAGCGGGAAGCUCCCUCCUGAGUAUGUGAAACUGUCAGUUCACUGCCUCAUGUGAAAGUACCCAGUACCUGGUAACCUGGCACUUCCCUUUUAAAAGCCACCUUUUCUCUAGCUCUCUGGCCUGCCACGAUUCUUCCUGUGCUCCAUAGGAGGACCCAUUGGACCCCCGGGCUGGCUGCAGGGCCCACACCUGGGUCAGGCCUUGCACAGGGACGCUCCUGCCACUGUAAUAAAGCGUGCCUACAUGCUUCUGAAACUGGUGUAAGCACAACCUCACUUCUGUGAAAGGCGGACGCAGCAGGACAGAAUCUCCGUGGACAUCUGUCUGGAGGAGCAAUUUUACUGCGACGUUUUAAAGAAACUAAUUGAUUUCCAAGAGCAUGGCUCUUUGCUGCUAAACUGACCUGGAACGGGAGUCGUUAUGACCCUUACGGUACCCCGAGAGGAAGAAUGGAGACUUUUCUUAACUGAGCUGAGCCAAGAGAUAAGACCAGCUCUGGCUAAGCGGUGGCCAAAAGUUUAGGCGGAAGACAACCCUCCAGGGUUGGCAGUCAACCAAGCCCCCGUACUUAUAGAAGUUAAGCCUGGGCACAGCCGGUUAGGCAAAAACAGUACUCAGUCCCCAGAGAAGCUCUUGAAGGUAUCCAGGUCCAUCUCAAGCACCUAAGAACCUUUGGAAUUACAGUUUCUUGUCAGUCUCCAUGGAAUACUUCCCUCCUGCUGGUUCCCAAGCCAGGGACCAAGGACUACAGGCCAGUACAGGAUUUGUGCUUGGUUAAUCAAGCUACAGUGACUUUAUAUCCAACAGUACCUAACUUGUACACAUUGUUGGGGUUGCUGCCAGCUGAGGACACCUGGUUCACCUUCUUGGACCUGAAAGACGCUUUCUUUGGCAUCAGAUUAGCCCCUGAGAGCCAGAAGCUGUUUGCCUUUCAGUGGGAAGAUCUGGAGUCAGGUGUCAUUACUCAGUACACUUGAACCUGGCUUCCCCAAGGGUUCAAGAACUACCCCGCCAUCUUCAGGGAGGCAUUGGCUUGAGACUUCCAGAAGUUUCCCACCAGAGACCUAGGCUGCGUGUUGCUCCAGUACAUUGAUUACCUUCUACUGGGACACCCCACGGCAGUUGGGUGCGCCAAGGGAACGGAUGCCCUAUUUCAGCACCUGGAGGACUGUGGGCAUAAAGUGUCCAAGAAAAAAGCUCAGAUAUGCUGACAGAAGGACCCAUAUAGGAUGGGGCCUAUACUGUAACCUUGUCCACUCCCACUGCUGUUAAAGUUGUCUGGGAUCCACCACAGUCAGCUAACACCGGCAGCUCAGGACAAGUGGACCAGCCAGCAGGACACAGAUCAUCCAACCUGGCUGAUCCUGAGAUGAGACCAAGCUGCUGCUGAGGACGACAGCCCUGCUCUGGUCACUCCGGAGGCUGACCAGUCUACGCACUGCCAAAGCUUGAGGAGACAACAAGCCCUGCUCUAGUCAUACACCGGCAGCUGGCUAGUCUACGCACGGCUGAAGCUUGAGGACUUAUCAAGCAAGUAAAUGUAGUUAAAAAUAUUAAUAGUUUUCCUGCGAUCCUAACUGUUUUCCUAUUGUUCUGUCGCUGUGUUCAACCUUUUCCCCAAGUAAGGACCUCUUUUACCCUUGCUGGAUAUGAAUAUGCUGUACAUUGUUUUGUUGUUACUACCCCGCAAAACUACGCUAGAAGAAACACCUAUAUAAAGUCUCCCCACUGUACAUUUACUACUUAGGAAACCCAGACCUGUCCAGUCCAGCAACAAUUCCGAGUCUUACAGUCAUUCUUUAAACAUAUAAACCAGAAGUUACCAGAACCUCUUCCUUUAGAGGUUCCUUAGUAGAAUCUCUUUCUUUAGUAAAAACAGAAAAAAAACCUAUUUGCUCAGUUGGCUGAAAAUAUUGCUGGCAGCCUAGAUGUUUCUUCAUGUUGUGUUUAUUAAAAGGCUAACAUAAGAGACCAAUGGCCUUGAGAAGCAAAAGAGUUAAUGCCUCAAGAUAACUUUAACUCUUUCCCCAAACAGAUGCCUUAAGUUCAAGUAUCUGGCUCUUAAACACUUCUGUUAUUUAAAAAAGCUGUUACUCGCUAAGAAAAAGCUUUUCAGACCCAGUGACAAAACUAACCUGCUUAGGACAUGACAAAGUUGAUACAUGUGCCUGUACAAGUUUAACACAGGUUUGGUCCUAGGUCUUCAUUUAGAAAACAGUUUCCAGCUCUAAAAAUUUAACACCCUCACUAUAAGUAUGUUACUGGUAAUAGAAAGUUGCUUGCUGCUCCCCUGUGUAUUACUCUUGUUCCUUCAAAUGAUAAAAGGUUUUGUAGCUACCAUGGUUCAUCAGAAAACUUCAGCACAAGUAUAUUACAUAAAACACUAUCGUUCUGUCUUGCAAAAAGACUCAGAAAGUAAAAAUGAAAGUCAGAACUCCCACUAAUUAGUGAAAAUUCUCAAAGGGGGGGAUAAGGAAGGAGACCACUACUCCUCCUGCUGCCUUCCGCCCCCCACCUUGCCUAGUUCAAAGACAGGAGAAAAGAGAGAGAGAAACAAAAGAUAAAUAGCCAGACAACCUUGGCACCACCACCCGGCCCUAGGAGUUAAACAAAGUAAUAAUAAUAACAUCA